CCUACGGGAGGCAGCAGUGAGGAAUAUUGGUCAAUGGACGAGAGUCUGAACCAGCCAAGUAGCGUGAAGGAUGACUGCCCUAUGGGUUGUAAACUUCUUAUAUAUGGGAAUAAAAUGUUCCACGUGUGGGAUUUUGUAUGUACCAUAUGAAUAAGGAUCGGCUAACUCCGUGCCAGCAGCCGCGGUAAUACGGAGGAUCCGAGCGUUAUCCGGAUUUAUUGGGUUUAAAGGGAGCGUAGGUGGAUUGUUAAGUCAGUUGUGAAAGUUUGCGGCUCAACCGUAAAAUUGCAGUUGAAACUGGCAGUCUUGAGUACAGUAGAGGUGGGCGGAAUGCGUGGUGUAGCGGUGAAAUGCUUAGAUAUCACGAAGAACUCCGAUUGCGAAGGCAGUUCACUGGACUGCAACUGACACUGAGGCUCGAAAGUGUGGGUAUCAAACAGGAUUAGAUACCCCUGUAGUC
rnacentral:rRNA from 1 species